rnacentral:rRNA from 1 species
UACGUAGGGUGCAAGCGUUGUCCGGAAUUAUUGGGCGUAAAGAGCUCGUAGGCGGUCUGUUGCGUCGGCUGUGAAAACCCGGGGCUCAACUCCGGGCCUGCAGCCGAUACGGGCAGACUAGAGUUCGGCAGGGGAGACUGGAAUUCCUGGUGUAGCGGUGAAAUGCGCAGAUAUCAGGAGGAACACCGGUGGCGAAGGCAGGUCUCUGGGCCGAUACUGACGCUGAGGAGCGAAAGCGUGGGGAGCGAACAGG